rnacentral:rRNA from 1 species
AGCUCCAAUAGCGUAUAUUAAAGUUGUUGUGGUUAAAAAGCUCGUAGUUGGAUCUCCACAGGCUUGAGCCGGUAUGCUUGCUAGCAUUACUGGCUUAUAGCCUGUAGUUUUGCCAGAGGUGUUAGGGUGCUCUUAAUCGAGUGUCCUAUCGCACUGGCAGGUUUACUUUGAAAAAAUUAGAGUGCUCAAAGCAGGCUUUAUGCUUGAAUAUUCGUGCAUGGAAUAAUAGAAUAGGAAGUCGUUUCUAUUUUGUUGGUUUUUAAGUUUCGACUUAAUGAUUAAUAGGGACAAACGGGGGCAUUUGUAUUCAGACGACAGAGGUGAAAUUCUUGGACCGUCUGAAGACAAACUACUGCGAAAGCAUUUGCCAAGAGUGUUUUCAUUAAUCAAGAACGAAAGU